GUAAAUGUUUGAAUAAAUUAGGGCGAGCAUAACUUUAAAUAUAGUGUGACAUGUUUCAAAAUGUUGACGUCUGUGUUACAGAAACAAUGAUUAUCAUCUACAUUAGCAUUGCAGUUCUGGCAACAACAGCCCUGGCAAAAGGCUCAGGUGAAUGCAUUUUCUCUGAAUCUUCUGCAACUUGUUUUGGAGCUACAGGACAGCCGCUAAUUUUUCAUCUGUCAUAUAAACGUGGUACUUCGAUUGUAAUCACGAAGGAUGACAAACACAGGAUUUUGAAAAUAAGCAAUCAAGGGAAAGUUACAUUAGAUAAGGAAUAUGUAAAUCAGUCAGACAGCAUAGACACUGUAAUACUCAAAGUAGGUGAAGCCACGAAGAAACAUUCUGGACAUUACCAGUUGGAAGAACAUGAUCAUGAUGGAAAGUUACUGAAAAAAAUUAAUGUAUAUCUAAAAAUACAAGCUCCAGUGUCAAAGCCAGGCCUGUCUCAGAAAUGCUUGUCAUCAGAACAGAUGAAAGUCAGCUGCUUCUCUGAAG
ensembl:lncRNA